rnacentral:misc_RNA from 1 species
UAGAGUUUUUCAAACUCCCAACCCAUGUGAACUUACCAAUGUUGCCUCGGCAGAGGCUACCCGGUACCUUUCCCUGGAACGGCCUACCCUGUAGCGCCUUACCCGGGAACGGGCUACCCUGUAGCGGCUGCCGGUGGACCAUCAAACUCUUGUUAUUUUAUUGUAAUCUGAGCGUCUUAUUUUAAUAAGUCA